rnacentral:rRNA from 1 species
GACGAACGCUGGCGGCGUGCCUAAUACAUGCAAGUAGAACGCUGAAGAGAGGAGCUUGCUCUUCUUGGAUGAGUUGCGAACGGGUGAGUAACGCGUAGGUAACCUGCCUUGUAGCGGGGGAUAACUAUUGGAAACGAUAGCUAAUACCGCAUAACAAUGGAUGACACAUGUCAUUUAUUUGAAAGGGGCAAUUGCUCCACUACAAGAUGGACCUGCGUUGUAUUAGCUAGUAGGUGAGGUAAUGGCUCACCUAGGCGACGAUACAUAGCCGACCGGAGAGGGUGAUCGGCCACACUGGGACUGAGACACGGCCCAGAAUCCUACGGGAGGCAGCAGUAGGGAAUCUUCGGCAAUGGGGGCAACCCUGACCGAGCAACGCCGCGUGAGUGAAGAAGGUUUUCGGAUCGUAAAGCUCUGUUGUAAGUCAAGAACGGGUGUGAGAGUGGAAAGUUCACACUGUGACGGUAGCUUACCAGAAAGGGACGGCUAACUACGUG